UACAGAGGGGGCAAGCGUUGUUCGGAAUUACUGGGCGUAAAGGGCGCGUAGGCGGCCUUCUAAGUCGAACGUGAAAUCCCCGGGCUCAACCCGGGAACUGCGUCCGAGACUGAAAGGCUUGAAUCCGGGAGAGGGAUGUGGAAUUCCAGGUGUAGCGGUGGAAUGCGCAGAUAUCAGGAAGAACACCGGUGGCGAAGGCGGCUCUCUGGGCCUUACCUGACGCUGAGGAGCGAAAGCGUGGGUAGCGAACAGG
rnacentral:rRNA from 1 species